ACUAGUAGCUGUGGAAGUGUGGAAGAAAAUGAGCCUAUAGAUAAAUGGUACGUCUGGCUCAUCAGCAGCCAAUAAAUGCACAUCGGAGCUGCAAUAUCAUAGAUUCCUGGUUCAAAUCAACCCAAGAUGAUGAACCCUGAAGAUGUGACAAAGUACGUGACAAGGUGGCCCAGAGGAAGCCAGCACUUCUCAACCCCUACAUUGCCCCAUUCUUCCAAGAGCUCACUGAGACUGAAUGAAGACCUCUAGUGAGAGGUGAGAAGAGCUGACAAAUCAGAACUGAGGAGGAUUGUUACGGAGCCCCAUGAGGAACACCUGAUGCUGCACUGACUUCCAUCUACUGGAUGCUCUGCUGCCUAAACUGUCCCGUUGUGUAUUUUACCACCUCUUACCACAGAUAGAGUUGCCCCUGAUCAUAGAUCUAGGAUUGCACCCAAUCCCAAUUUUAACCCAAGAUGAUGAACCCUGAAGAUGUGACAAAGUACAUGACAAGGUGGCCCGGAUGAAGCCAGCGCUUCUCAACUCCCCCCCCCCCCCCCAUUCUCUCUCUUUUUUUCUUUCUCUCCCCCACACCCCAUACACACAGGCACACAAUAUAGUCUUUAAAUUAGUGUUGUAAUAAUGCUCUUAUUUGGUUACAUAUGUGCUAACUGUUCUUACUUCUAUUGUCAGUUUUGUUGUUUAAUUUGUUGUUCAUAUUGUUACCAAUUUCAAUACAUUUAUUUUAUGUAAAAAAACAUCUUCUUGGAUUUAGAUUUCAAGGACAAUUUCGCUGUAAAUGUAGAGCAUUAUCCUGGCACCAGAGUUGCCAGCUGAAUACUGUCAUUUUGUUUUACAAAAUAAAACAUUACAGCGUCCCUGUAAAUUUACAGCAGGGAUGUGGUAAUAUGUUUUAGAGUAAGGAAAAUAUUGUAAAAUACAUUACAGCAUCUAUGCUGUAAAGCAAAAUUACAAUAUUAAGCUGGCAACUCUGGUGCCAGUAUAAUGCUGUAAAUUUACAAGGAAAUGUUUUACAGUGUAAACUAUGGAAACAAUUUCCCCUUGUAGGACAAAACACAUCAUUGUGGAUGCUCACCUUGGCUUUGUUGAUGGUACAGUGCAGAGCAUUGUUCUCCUGGUCAUAUAGUAAACUGAAGUCCAGGGUCCCCAACGUAGCUGCAGGAGAGAGAGAGAGAAAUCAGAUAUCAGAGCAGAGAUGGUACAUGCUGCACACUAUGGAGAAAGAGAGAAAGACACAGAGAGAAAAAGGCAAAAACUGAAAUCAGACCUCAACUACAUGCUACACACCAAGAUAAGAGCACCUGAGAGGAGAGGCUACUAAUAAAACCGCCUGUCAACAUAUGACAGGACUUCCUUCUCAUCAUCCCCUCCUCAAACUGAGCGAAACUCACCACAACCGUGUUUCACCUCAACGCAUAUGGGCCUGUCUACUCGCCAAUAUACAGUAGAACACACACAGUGUACCCAACAUUAGGAAGAUCCUGCUCUUUCCAUUACAUAGACUGACCAGGUGAAUCCAGAUAAAAGCUAUAAUCCCUUAUUGAUGUAACCUGUUAAAUCCACUUCAAUCGGUGUAGAUAAAGGGGAAGAGAAAAGUUCAAGAAGGAUUUUUAACCCAUGAGACAAUUGAGACAUGGAUUGUGUAUGUGUACCAUUCAGAGGGUGAAUGGGCCAGCAUCCCUGUG